AAAAAUUUAGUUAAAUUAUAACAUUAGUUUGUCAAACUAAAAUUAUUUAUUCGAAAUAAUUUUUA
rnacentral:tRNA from 1 species